AAUUGUGAAGUGAGGAGGUGGCAAGUCUAAGGACUAAAGAGGAACUUAGGCCAUAUAUAUAAAAGCAAGAAAAACAAAUUAAGAAUCAGCAAAACCUCAUUUCUCUAGCUGAAAUGAAGAUCAUCCCGUAUGUUCUUCUUCUCCUAACCCUCAAAACUUCAUUUGGCCAUAUCUUUUUCGUUUCUUAACGGAAUUGAGCGAUUCUCGCGACCACGGAACGAGGAAAGGAUCCUCUAUUUAAUUAUGGCUUCAAUUUGAGGAUGAUCUUGAGUUUAUUUGGAGCAAAGUCAUGGUGAAUUGAUGCUUAAAAUCAUUUGGCCAAGGGACAUCAACAAGAAAAGGUACCUAGAUUCUGGACUUGUCUAGAAGUCCAUUCUUUGAUCGGAAGUAAAUCUUGUCGUGUGCAGUCCAGACUUUCGUAGUUGCUGCAGUAGUGUCUUGCCUGACCAGAGUUGUGGUCUAGUACAACAAUUUGAUACUGUGUCGGUUCUGAUUUGAUGUCUUUGUAGUUAUAUAUGUUUUGUACACGGAAGGUGAAUACCUGUGAUGAUAUGGUUUUGAACAAAAGUAUGUAUCAGGCUAGUACGUACAUGAUACGGAAACAAUAAGCCCAAGUAUUUUGUGUCAAUAAGUUACUAGUGUAUAAACAUGUGUAUAUGUAUAUGCUUCUGCUAUAAUGCCAAUAUAUGAUUGAUGUUUUGAGAAAACGUUUUAGUGAAUUUUAGGCUUGCUACGGGUUUCGGAACUACCAUUCCUAUUACCUAGCGCCGGUCUCGACUCGAGAUUUCGGGUCGUGACAGUUGUGGAGCCCGUCUUCCGUCACGUUGAUUAUUUCCGGCGUGCCUUUUGGAUCCAUUGGUUGUUUGUCUUUCAGGUUCACUCUUUUAGAAGUCAUCUUCUUCAAUGAAUUUUUUUUUGAGUUCAGAAAAGCUCCUUCAAAUUGAAGUUUAGGUAAGCUUUUCCCACAGACAGCACCAAUUGAUGGAGUCUGCCUUCUGAACCGGUGAAUGAGACCUGCAAAACAGGGUAGAAACUAACCAGACGGUGGUUGUCCGAUUAACUCUCCGAUGCUAAAGUCAGUUUGGAGCUUUGAGCAGCGUUUAGAGUAUAUGAAUGUAAUUGUGAUUCUAGGCAUACCUCAUGCUCCUUUUAUAGUAGCCGAAUAUACCUUGUAGAGUCGUAAUAGGUAAGUGAAUCCUACUUUGUAGGGAUCGAGCUACCUUGUAGGGAUUCACCCUGAUUUGUCGUGAUCUACCUUAUUCAGACAUGAGUCCUAUUUAGGAACGUCUUCCUAAAUAGUCUCGUCUUCCUAAGAUAGAGCUUAUCUUUCCAUGUUUGGAGUUUGU